rnacentral:rRNA from 1 species
AUUGAACGCUGGCGGCAGGCUUAACACAUGCAAGUCGAGCGGAGAUGAGGUGCUUGCACCUUAUCUUAGCGGCGGACGGGUGAGUAAUGCUUAGGAAUCUGCCUAUUAGUGGGGGACAACAUUCCGAAAGGAAUGCUAAUACCGCAUACGUCCUACGGGAGAAAGCAGGGGAUCUUCGGACCUCGCGCUAAUAGAUGAGCCUAAGUCGGAUUAGCUAGUUGGUGGGGUAAAGGCCUACCAAGGCGACGAUCUGUAGCGGGUCUGAGAGGAUGAUCCGCCACACUGGGACUGAGACACGGCCCAGACUCCUACGGGAGGCAGCAGUGGGGAAUAUUGGACAAUGGGGGAAACCCUGAUCCAGCCAUGCCGCGUGUGUGAAGAAGGCCUUAUGGUCGUAAAGCACUUUAAGCGAGGAGGAGGCUACUGAGACUAAUACUCUUGGAUAGUGGACGUUACUCGCAGAAUAAGCACCGGCUAACUCUGUGCCAGCCGCCGCUGUAACAC